rnacentral:rRNA from 1 species
CCCGUGAGGACGCCCUUUACCCCUACCCCAGGCUUAGGAGCUGGUAUCAGGCGCAACUUUUACGCCCAUAACACCUAGUCCCACCACACCCCCAAGGGUACUCAGCAGUGAUAAACAUUGUCUAUAAGCGCCAGCUUAACCCAGUUAUAAAGAAGAGGGCCGGCCAACUUGGUGCCAGCCGCCGCGGCUAGACCAACUGGACUCAAAUUGAUAAUUCCCGGCGUUAAGCGUGAUUAAAGCCAUACACCAAUUAGAGUUAAACCUAUGUUGAGCAGUGAAAAGCACACGAUAGGGAAAUCCAGAAACGAAAGUUACUCUAAUCUCUGCUUGAAUACACGACAGCUAGAAAACAAACUGGGAUU